ensembl:lncRNA
UAUGGAGCGGCAGGGUAAUAACUCUGCGAUUCAGAGGCUGCAUGGAUUUCCUUUCUGUUACAGCUGUUUGAAACGUUUUCUUGAGCGUUUUCAUAAAUCUUUCUACUUCUCAGCUGGCCUGCAGCCAGGGUGGAUCCACUCAUUUAGCUGGAACCUGAGUUUCUUGGCAAGUUCCCGACUGCUGGAAGUGUUAGCCCGUUAUCAGGUCUGAUGGCUACUGCUGACAUGCAGAAGUAUGCUCCUUGCUCAGGACUGGCCACCUGGCUGAAGACUUUCUGUUCUGAAGCCCAAUGCAUUUUCAAGGUGAGGCACAGAAGGUGGGAUCACACCCGGGAGGUGGGCAGCAGGUGGACUGCUGUCUGCAUGAUGCUGCUACUGUGUGCCCCCACGACAAUGAGUUGUUGUUUCAGCAACCCCCCCACAGUGUCUGAAUUUGGAAGUUCUCUAAGAAAGAAGGAAAUACUUGGAAUCCAGGGGCUGCUCUUGGCCAGAAUGCAGUGGUUUUGUG